CCUACGGGGCGCUGCAGUGGGGAAUAUUGGACAAUGGGCGAAAGCCUGAUCCAGCCAUGCCGCGUGUGUGAAGAAGGCCUUCGGGUUGUAAAGCACUUUCAGUGGGGAAGAAAGCCUUGGGGCUAAUACCCUCGAGGAAGGACAUCACCCACAGAAGAAGCACCGGCUAACUCCGUGCCAGCAGCCGCGGUAAUACGGAGGGUGCGAGCGUUAAUCGGAAUUACUGGGCGUAAAGCGCGCGUAGGCGGUCUGAUAAGCCGGUUGUGAAAGCCCCGGGCUCAACCUGGGAACGGCAUCCGGAACUGUCAGGCUAGAGUGCAGGAGAGGAAGGUAGAAUUCCCGGUGUAGCGGUGAAAUGCGUAGAGAUCUGGAGGAAUACCAGUGGCGAAGGCGGCCUUCUGGACUGACACUGACGCUGAGGUGCGAAAGCGUGGGUAGCAAACAGGAUUAGAUACCCUGGUAGUC
rnacentral:rRNA from 1 species